AUGGGGGCCGCCUGCGACGACGCCGUCCAGCAGGUCGCUCGCCUCCUCGACCAAGUUGAGGAGCCGCUCAAGAAGACGUUCCAGAAUGUGCACCAGGGCUAUCCAACAGAGACACUAGUGCGCUUCCUUAAAGCUAGAGAGUGGCAUGUAACUAAUGCUCAUAAAAUGAUUGUAGAUUGUUUGAAUUGGAGGAUACAAAAUGAAAUUGACAGUAUACUGGAGAAACCUAUAAUCCCAGUAGAUUUGUAUAGAUCGAUACGAGAAUCACAGCUUGUUGGGUUAUCAGGAUACUCAAAGGAGGGCGUCCCAGUAUUUGCCUUUGGUGUUGGACAGAGCACAUAUGACAAAGCUUCGGUCCAUUACUAUGUGCAAUCUCAUAUUCAGAUCAAUGAGUACCGUGAUCGUAUUAUUCUGCCUAUGGCGACGAAGAAGUUUAGGCGACCUAUAACCACCUGUAUAAAGGUUCUUGAUAUGACUGGUCUGAAGUUGUCAGCACUGAGCCUAUUGAAGAUUUUGACUGCAAUAUCUGCUGUCGAUGAACUGAAUUACCCUGAAAAGGCCGAGACCUAUUAUAUUGUAAAUACUCCAUAUAUAUUCUCAGCGUGUUGGAAGGUUGUGAAACCUCUACUGCAAGAGAGGACAAGAAAGAAGGUCCAUGUUUUGAGUGGUCGUGGGAAAGAUGAGCUCCUAAAGAUCAUGGACCAUUCCUCCAUCCCCCAUUUCUGUCGACGUGAGGGUUCAUCAAAAGUUCCAUUGAGCAGCGUCGAUGACUGCUUCUCGCUUGACCACCCUUUCCACCAAGAGCUCUACCAUUACAUCGAGCAGCAGGCGCUGAAUCAGGAACUCAUCAAGCAGGGUUCUUUGCAUGUAGACAUCCCCGACCAAGACCCCGAUGACGCCAUGAUUGUGGAGGUCAUCCAGGCCGAGUUUCACAAGCUUGGUGAACAGAAUGGGUCUGCCGAUGGCGACCAUAAAUAA
rnacentral:rRNA from 1 species